rnacentral:rRNA from 2 species
UACGAACUGUGCGAACGUUAUUCGGAAUCACUGGGCUUAAAGGGUGCGUAGGCGGUUUGUUAAGUCAGGUGUGAAAUCCCCCGGCUCAACCGGGGAACAGCGCUUGAAACUAGCAGACUGGAGUGAGGCAGGGGUGUGCGGAACUUCCAGUGGAGCGGUGAAAUGUGUAGAUAUUGGAAGGAACGCCGGCGGCGAAAGCGGCACACUGGGCCUUGUCUGACGCUGAGGCACGAAAGCUAGGGGAGUGAACGGG